rnacentral:rRNA from 1 species
UUGGAGGGCAAGUCUGGUGCCAGCAGCCGCGGUAAUUCCAGCUCCAAUAGCGUAUAUUAAAGUUGUUGCAGUUAAAAAGCCCGUAGUUGAAUUUCGGGGUUAGUAGGUUGGUCAUGCCUCUGGUAUGUACUGGUCUCACUGAUUCCUCCUUCCUGAUGAACCGUAAUGCCAUUAAUUUGGUGUUGCGGGGAAUUUGGACUGUUACUUUGAAAAAAUUAGAGUGUUUAAAGCAAGCUAACGCUUGAAUACAUUAGCAUGGAAUAAUGAAAUAGGACGUUCGAUCCUAUUUUGUUGGUUUCUAGGAUUGACGUAAUGAUUAAUAGGGAUAGUUGGGGGCAUUAGUAUUCAAUUGUCAGAGGUGAAAUUCUUGGAUUUAUAGAAGACUAACUACUGCGAAAGCAUAUGCCAAGGAUGUUUUCAUUAAUCAAGAACGAAAGUUAGGGGAUCGAAGACGAUCAGAUACCGUCGUAGUCUUAACCAUAAACUAUGCCGACUAGGGAUCGGAUGAUGUUAAUUUUUUAAUGACUCAUUCGGCGCCUUACGGGAAAC